rnacentral:misc_RNA from 1 species
CCAAAACUGCAAGCAACAUCACUAGCCCCAUUUUGCUGGUAAUAACUGUUGAAUGCAUAGGAUGCAUGUGAAAUUAGAGUAUCUGGCUCAAAACAAGGCUGGCGCUGGCUAGGCUGAAUGGCAGAACAAUCCACAUUUCCAGGACCACAUGCCCAAUCUAAGGCACUCUGCAAGUCAAGUUGAGAAACAUUACUUGAAGCAAUGCACCAUGUUGUUCCAUUGAAACCAGUAAAAGUGGAAUUUUUGGGAACAUCAACAACGCCUCUUCCUUUAAAAUCCAAAUUGUAAACACUUGUCUGGUCUGGAUAAAAU